rnacentral:rRNA from 1 species
UACGUAGGUGGCAAGCGUUGUCCGGAAUUAUUGGGCGUAAAGCGCGCGCAGGCGGUCCUUUAAGUCUGAUGUGAAAGCCCACGGCUCAACCGUGGAGGGUCAUUGGAAACCGGGGGACUUGAGUGCAGGAGAGAAGAGUGGAAUUCCACGUGUAGCGGUGAAAUGCGUAGAUAUCUGGAGGAACACCGGUGGCGAAGGCGACAUCCUGGACCGGUAUUGACGCUGAGGCGCGAAAGCCAGGGGAGCAAACGGG